rnacentral:SRP_RNA from 1 species
GCUGGGCACGGUGGCGCGUGCCUGUAGUCCCAGCUACUCGGGAGGCUGAGGCUGGAGGAUCACUUGAGCCCAGGAGUUCUGGGCUGUAGUGUGCUAUGCCAGUCGGGUGUCCGCACUAAGUUCAGCAUCAAUGUGGUGACCUCCUGGGAGCGGGGACCACCAGGUUGCCUAUGGAGGGGUGAACCGGCCCAGGUGGGAAACGGAACAGGUCAAAACUCCCGUGCUGAUCAGUAGAGGGAUCACGCCUGUGAAUAGCCACUGCCCUCCAGCCUGGGCAACAUAGCAACACCUAGUCUCA